rnacentral:rRNA from 1 species
GACGUAGGUGGCGAACGUUUAUCCGGAAUUAUUGGGCGUAAAGGGUGCGUAGGCGGCAUGAUAAGUUAUUGGCGGCAAAUCGAGGCUCAACCUCGUGGAAACUGAUAAUACUGUCUUGCUUGAGUGCAGAAGAGGUUAACGGAACUCCAUGUGGAGCGGUAAAAUGUGUAGAUAUAUGGAAGAACAUCAAUAACGGCGAAGGCAGUUAACUAUUCUGUUACUGACGUUGAGGCACGAAAAGCGUGGGGGAGCAA